ensembl:lncRNA
GCGGUUCUAAAGCAGGAUCAUCUUUAUUGGGGAUAAAUUGUCUGUGUACGCAAAGCCAUUCACUCAAUAGCCCUCUCACAUUUAAUAUUUAUUAUUGUCUUGGGAAGCUGCAUUAGAGUUUUUGCUCUUUUAUGUUUUUCAAUUACUUACAUGCAUUACACAUUCUUUGUUCAGUUAUUAAGUUAAUGACUUUACAUCAACACAAUCUUUUCAGUUAGAGAUUUCUUUAAAAAAGAUUAUCAUAUUGCAAUCAUAUUCUAUAUAAAUGUGCUACAUGCAAACUGUCAAACCAACUGAAUCACUACUGAUGAAAUUGGAUGGGCUUGAAUCGUCAUUAUAAAAAAAUACAGUACUGCAGAAUGCUUUCAUCUUGAUCUAUUUGUUUCUUAUAAACACACAGCUUUUGGCUUCACAGGAUGUUAAUUGGAUGACUGAAGAAGUGUAGAUUACUUGUGGAUUAUCGUGAUGUUUUUAUCAGCUGUUUGGACUCUCAUUCUGACGGCACCCAUUCACUGCAGAGGAUCCAUUGUUGAGCAAGAGCUGUAAUGUUAUAUUUCUCCAAAUCUGAUGAAGAAACAAACUCAUCUCCAUCUUGGAUGGCAUGAGGAAUGGCAGCACAGCUGAGAGCUGCAGGUGGAUGGCUCUAGGUUGCCAUUUUGAAGGCAACAUGACAAGCUGUCACAGCACAAUGGCAGACAUGUUUCAAGACCACAGUGGACCAGUAAGCCGAGUAUUGAUAUUCAGCACUCUCAGCCAUUCCUGCAAGAUCAGAUAUAGCUCCAAAGCAAACUGACGUGAAAAAGACGGGGAUGCUUGUCUCAAGUUCUAAGGAAAUAAUGGAGCAAAGCAAUGGAGGGUUGCAUAAACAAACCUGCAGUAAAUGGAUGUAUCCACUAACACUGUGUGGGUAUUUCACUGGAAAGAACUAAUAAGCAAGGACAUUACAAACAAAGGAAAACAAAGGCCAAGAUCUGCUCAGGUUUCAGAGCUCUCACUGGGAAUGUUCUUCAGAGAACAGGUGCUCAAAGGAAGCUUUAAUCUUCUAUCAAACUAUUCCAAAACCUGACUCAAUGGGAGCCGUUAAAAUAAUGUUACAGUGAUGUAAGCGGUUUACUCUGUAUGCCAGAUCAGCAUUCAUAAUAGGCUCUGAGACAUGGGACAAAAAAACUUAAAAUGACAACAAAUGUCCACUUUGAAAUGAAUCAGAGAUGAUCACUUGAAUGUUCUUAUUACAAAUUGUGUUCUUAUUUUUAUCAGAAUUAUAAAAGUUGCCUGUAUCAGUGACUAUAGACGAUAACGGUAUUAUUUGAAAACGUUUUGUUUUAGUUGAAAACCGUGUGUUAUUUUAUUCAAAUUUAUGAUUUCUGUC